rnacentral:hammerhead_ribozyme from 1 species
AUUCAACUGACGAGUCCCAAAUAGAACGGAACGCACGUCUUUAAAU